CAGCACGAACUCUCCCGGGCUUAUCUGAAUCUCAAAAAGUGAAGAAAAAAGCCCCAAUGUUGGUGCUAAAGUCAUGCCGUCUCACGUGUUGCCGAGUAGCUUUGCUUUCCCCACCGGCUCUUCCGUGUCAAAUAGGCGGCGACACUU